CGUAUCGGAGUUCUAACCUGGUACCGUGAUCCGGUACGGGGACAGUGUCAGGUGGGCAGUUUGACUGGGGCGGUCGCCUCCUAAAGAGUAACGGAGGCGCCCCAAGGUUCCCUCAGAAUGGUUGGAAAUCAUUCGAAGAGUGCAAAGGCAAAAGGGAGCUUGACUGCGAGACUGACAAGUCGAGCAGGGACGAAAGUCGGGCUUAGUGAUCCGGUGGUACCGCAUGGAAGGGCCAUCGCUCAACGGAUAAAAGCUACCCUGGGGAUAACAGGCUUAUCUCCCCCAAGAGUCCACAUCGACGGGGAGGUUUGGCACCUCGAUGUCGGCUCAUCGCAUCCUGGGGCUGAAGUAGGUCCCAAGGGUUGGGCUGUUCGCCCAUUAAAGCGGUACGCGAGCUGGGUUCAGAACGUCGUGAGACAGUUCGGUCCCUAUCUGUCGUGGGCGUAGGAAAUUUGAGAGGAGCUGUCCUUAGUACGAGAGGACCGGGAUGGACGCACCGCUGGUGCACCAGUUGUUCCGCCAGGAGCACAGCUGGGUAGCUAAGUGCGGACGGGAUAAGCGCUGAAAGCAUCUAAGCGUGAAGCCCCCCUCAAGAUGAGAUUUCCCAAUUAGUAAGACCCCUUGAAGACGACGAGGUUGAUAGGCCUGAGGUGGAAGUGCAGCAAUGCAUGGAGCUGACAGGU
rnacentral:rRNA from 1 species